UACGGCCAUAUCAUGUUGAAAUACCGGUUCUCGUACGAUCACCGAAGUUAAACAAACGUUGAGCCUGGCUAGUACCGAAAUGAGUGACUCUUUGGGAAUACCAGCUACUGUAAG